GUCCUUGUGGUGAAAUUGGAUAUCACGCUUGGCUUCGGACCAAGAAUUUCAGGUUCAAGUCCUGACAAGGGCACAA
rnacentral:tRNA from 3 species